AGCUCCAAUAGCGUAUAUUAAAGUUGUUGCAGUUAAAAAGCUCGUAGUUGGAUUUCUGGCGGGGACCCAAGUACCCCUGGUGGGUGUGCUCGGGCCCGGCCAUCCUUCUGUCAACUUUCGCGCGUCCUUCACCGGUCGGCAAAGGGAUCAGAUAAUUUACCUUGAGAAAAUUAGAGUGUUUCAGGCAGGCUUUCGCCGGAAUACAUUAGCAUGGAAUAAUGGAAUAGGACUGAGGUCUCGUUGUUGGUUACGCGGACUCCAGUAAUGAUUAAUAGGGACAGUUGGGGGCAUUAGUAUUUAUUAGCUAGAGGUGGAAUUCUCUAAUUUGAUAAAGACUAACUUAUGCGAAAGCAUUUGCCAAGGAUGUUU
rnacentral:rRNA from 1 species